rnacentral:rRNA from 1 species
UACGUAGGGGGCGAGCGUUGUCCGGAAUUAUUGGGCGUAAAGAGCGUGUAGGCGGCCCGGUAAGUCCGCCGUGAAAGCUUGGGGCUCAACCCCAAGUUUGCGGUGGAUACUGUCGGGCUAGAGGGUGGUAGAGGCGAGUGGAAUUCCCGGUGUAGCGGUGAAAUGCGCAGAUAUCGGGAGGAACACCAGUAGCGAAAGCGCCCUGCUGGACCUCUACUGACGCUGAGGCGCGAAAGCCAGGGGAGCAAACGGGAUUAGAUA